CUACUGAAAGAGUUUUCGGACGAUGGAAGUAGAGGAAAGUGGCGGACGGGUGAGUAACGCGUGAGGAACCUGCCUUGAAGAGGGGGACAACAGUUGGAAACGACUGCUAAUACCGCAUGAAGCAUAGGGGUCGCAUGAUUCUUAUGCCAAAGAUUUAUCGCUUCAAGAUGGCCUCGCGUCUGAUUAGCUAGUUGGCGGGGUAACGGCCCACCAAGGCGACGAUCAGUAGCCGGACUGAGAGGUUGAACGGCCACAUUGGGACUGAGAUACGGCCCAGACUCCUACGGGAGGCAGCAGUGGGGAAUAUUGGGCAAUGGGCGCAAGCCUGACCCAGCAACGCCGCGUGAAGGAAGAAGGCUUUCGGGUUGUAAACUUCUUUUAAGAGGGAAGAGCAGAAGACGGUACCUCUAGAAUAAGCCACGGCUAACUACGUGCCAGCAGCCGCGGUAAUACGUAGGUGGCAAGCGUUGUCCGGAUUUACUGGGUGUAAAGGGCGUGCAGCCGGGUCUGCAAGUCAGAUGUGAAAUCCAUGGGCUC
rnacentral:rRNA from 1 species